AGAGUUUGAUCCUGGCUCAGGAUGAACGCUGGCGGCGUGCCUAACACAUGCAAGUUGAGCGAUUUACUUCGGUAAAGAGCGGCGGACGGGUGAGUAACGCGUGGGUAACCUACCCUGUACACACGGAUAACAUACCGAAAGGUAUGCUAAUACGGGAUAAUAUAUUUGAGAGGCAUCUCUUGAAUAUCAAAGGUGAGCCAGUACAGGAUGGACCCGCGUCUGAUUAGCUAGUUGGUAAGGUAACGGCUUACCAAGGCGACGAUCAGUAGCCGACCUGAGAGGGUGAUCGGCCACAUUGGAACUGAGACACGGUCCAAACUCCUACGGGAGGCAGCAGUGGGGAAUAUUGCACAAUGGGCGAAAGCCUGAUGCAGCAACGCCGCGUGAGUGAUGAAGGCCUUCGGGUCGUAAAACUCUGUCCUCAAGGAAGAUAAUGACGGUACUUGAGGAGGAAGCCCCGGCUAACUACGUGCCAGCAGCCGCGGUAAUACGUAGGGGGCUAGCGUUAUCCGGAUUUACUGGGCGUAAAGGGUGCGUAGGCGGUCUUUCAAGUCAGGAGUGAAAGGCUACGGCUCAACCGUAGUAAGCUCUUGAAACUGGGAGACUUGAGUGCAGGAGAGGAGAGUGGAAUUCCUAGUGUAGCGGUGAAAUGCGUAGAUAUUAGGAGGAACACCAGUUGCGAAGGCGGCUCUCUGGACUGUAACUGACGCUGAGGCACGAAAGCGUGGGGAGCAAACAGGAUUAGAUACCCUGGUAGUCCACGCUGUAAACGAUGAGUACUAGGUGUCGGGGGUUACCCCCUUCGGUGCCG
rnacentral:rRNA from 1 species